AUGGCGAUGCCUGCUGCUCUCAGGGCCUUAACUGUCUUGUAUGCGCUUGCAGUUCUUGCUGGAAAUCAGGUGGAAGGGCGGCACCAUCAGCCUGAUUGUCCUUCUUUCUCGUGCGGUCUUCUUGGAAACAUAUCGUCUCCAUUUCGUCGGGCAAGUGAUCCACCUGGGUGCGGCUAUCGAUCUUACGAGCUGGUUUGCAGUGAUACCAAGGCUACGAUACGCAUCGGCGGUGCAACUUACUAUGUGUCUGGCAUCAACUACAGUAAUUCUUCCUUAUGGGUUGUCGAUGCCGACUUGGAUUUACACAACAGCUGCCCUCUACCUCGGUGGAAUCCUCCAUACCCACACAACAACAUGGAAGUCGAAUUGGACCCCCUUGUAGAUACUCGGGCUUGCUUUGUAAAAUGCUCUCAGGAAGUAAAGGGCACUGGUACGUACAUGCCUGUUGCUUGCCUAAGCACCAAUGAUUCUUUUGUUUACGUGUUAACUGGCCUCAGAUCUACAUACAUGGAAUACCUUCAACCUUCUUGUGGGUACUUGGCCGUGACUCCUCGACCUUGGGACAGUCCGACGCUAGAAAAUGCAAGUUAUGCAGAUGUUGUGAAAUCCAUGAGGACUGGAUUUGCUGUUAAGUUUCCUUUCAGGUAUACUAGGGAGACCAUCAAGGGAUGCCUAAUAGACAUUGUUCGCCCCUUCUAUGAAGUGCCAGUGUCGAGUGAGGGCAUCAAGCGACUUAUUACAUACAGUCUUCUGGCUGAUGGAUAUUUGUUGGAUUGUGUAUUUAAUACUGCUGGAUUCCGAGGUGUUCCCGGUUUCAUCAUAAUAAUCAUCUUCUGGAUUCUGAAGUGGCUAGCAGUGUUAUGCAGGUUCAUGUUGGCACCACUGGCUGUGUUGAUUUUCCUAGCCUACAAGUGUUGGAAAACAAGAAUAACAAUCGAUGCGGUUGAGAAGUUCCUCCGAAUGCAGCAAAUGAUUGGUCCGACGAGGUACGCCUACACUGACAUCACAGCUGUUACAAGCCAUUUCAGAGAUAAGCUGGGCCAGGGAGGCUACGGCUCUGUGUUUAAGGGUGUGUUGUUGCCAGGCAAUGUUCACGUCGCGGUCAAGAUGCUAGACGGUAACUCCAAUUGUAAUGGAGAGGAUUUUAUCAGUGAAGUUUCAACCAUUGGCAGGAUCCACCAUGUUAAUGUGGUGCGUUUACUGGGUUUUUGCCCGGAGGAAAUGAGACAAGCGCUCAUCUACGAGUACAUGCCUCGAGGUUCUCUCGACAAGUACAUCUUCUCAGCUGAGAGGAGUUUUUCUUGGGAUAAGCUUGCCGAGAUCGCUUUGGGCAUAGCCAGGGGCAUCGACUACCUGCAUCAGGGCUGCGAGAUGCAAAUUCUCCACUUCGACAUCAAGCCCCACAACAUUCUUCUCGACAACAAUUUUGUCCCAAAAGUAGCUGACUUCGGUCUCGCCAAGCUGUACCCAAGGGAUAAGAGUUUUGUGCCAUCGAGAGCCCUACGGGGAACUGUUGGGUACAUAGCUCCUGAGAUGAUAUCUCGGAGCUUUGGCGUCAUAUCAAGCAAGUCUGAUGUUUACAGCUUUGGGAUGCUGUUGCUGGAGAUGGCUGGAGGAAGAAGGAACGCCGAUUCUAAUGUGGCAAACUCAAGCCAACCAUACUACCCAUCGUGGGUGUAUGACCAGCUAACUCAACAAGACAAUAUUGGUGAGAUAUCUGCUCAUGUUGAUACUGUGAUGCACGAACUGGAGAGGAAGCUAUGUAUUGUUGGACUUUGGUGCAUUCAGAUGAAGUCUCAUGAUAGGCCAACGAUGAGUGAGGUUAUAGAUAUGCUCGAAGGUAGCGUCGAUGCAUUGCAGAUGCCUUCCAGGCCAUUCUUCUGUGAUGAAGGGCACACCCAUACCGAGUGUACUUACCACUUGUCGUCCGAGUUGACUGAAAUCUGUGAGGAGGAUAUGAGUGAAAAUAUUGGUGUGUGA
rnacentral:rRNA from 1 species